rnacentral:misc_RNA from 1 species
UCUCCGUAGGUGAACCUGCGGAGGGAUCAUUACUGAGUGAGGGCCUCCGGCCCGACCUCCAACCCAUUGUGAAUCAAUACCUCGUUGCCUCGGGGCUCACCUCGGGCUCACGCCCCAGGGGCCCCGACGGACACCCUUCCAAACUCUUGCGUCUUUGCGUCUGAGUCUAUUGCAAAUAAGUAAAAACUUUCAACAACGGAUCUCUUGGUUCUGGCAUCGAUGAAGAACGCAGC